rnacentral:rRNA from 1 species
AGAGUUUGAUCCUGGCUCAGGACGAACGCUGGCGGCGUGCCUAAUACAUGCAAGUCGAGCGAAUCUGAGGGAGCUUGCUCCCGAAGAUUAGCGGCGGACGGGUGAGUAACACGUGGGCAACCUGCCUGUAAGACUGGGAUAACUUCGGGAAACCGGAGCUAAUACCGGAUAAUUCUUUUCCUCUCAUGAGGAAAAGCUGAAAGAUGGUUUCGGCUAUCACUUACAGAUGGGCCCGCGGCGCAUUAGCUAGUUGGUGAGGUAACGGCUCACCAAGGCAACGAUGCGUAGCCGACCUGAGAGGGUGAUCGGCCACACUGGGACUGAGACACGGCCCAGACUCCUACGGGAGGCAGCAGUAGGGAAUCUUCCGCAAUGGACGAAAGUCUGACGGAGCAACGCCGCGUGAGUGAUGAAGGUUUUCGGAUCGUAAAACUCUGUUGUUAGGGAAGAACAAGUAUCGGAGUAACUGCCGGUACCUUGACGGUACCUAACCAGAAAGCCACGGCUAACUACGUGCCAGCAGCCGCGGUAAUACGUAGGUGGCAAGCGUUGUCCGGAAUUAUUGGGCGUAAAGCGCGCGCAGGUGGUUUCUUAAGUCUGAUGUGAAAGCCCCCGGCUCAACCGGGGAGGGUCAUUGGAAACUGGGAGACUUGAGUGCAGAAGAGGAAAGUGGAAUUCCAAGUGUAGCGGUGAAAUGCGUAGAGAUUUGGAGGAACACCAGUGGCGAAGGCGACUUUCUGGUCUGUAACUGACACUGAGGCGCGAAAGCGUGGGGAGCGAACAGGAUUAGAUACCCUGGUAGUCCACGCCGUAAACGAUGAGUGCUAAGUGUUAGGGGGUUUCCGCCCCUUAGUGCUGCAGCAAACGCAUUAAGCACUCCGCCUGGGGAGUACGGCCGCAAGGCUGAAACUCAAAGGAAUUGACGGGGGCCCGCACAAGCGGUGGAGCAUGUGGUUUAAUUCGAAGCAACGCGAAGAACCUUACCAGGUCUUGACAUCCUCUGACAACUCUAGAGAUAGAGCGUUCCCCUUCGGGGGACAGAGUGACAGGUGGUGCAUGGUUGUCGUCAGCUCGUGUCGUGAGAUGUUGGGUUAAGUCCCGCAACGAGCGCAACCCUUGUCCUUAGUUGCCAGCAUUCAGUUGGGCACUCUAAGGAGACUGCCGGUGACAAACCGGAGGAAGGUGGGGAUGACGUCAAAUCAUCAUGCCCCUUAUGACCUGGGCUACACACGUGCUACAAUGGAUGGUACAAAGGGCUGCAAGACCGCGAGGUUUAGCCAAUCCCAUAAAACCAUUCUCAGUUCGGAUUGCAGGCUGCAACUCGCCUGCAUGAAGCCGGAAUCGCUAGUAAUCGCGGAUCAGCAUGCCGCGGUGAAUACGUUCCCGGGCCUUGUACACACCGCCCGUCACACCACGAGAGUUUGUAACACCCGAAGUCGGUGGGGUAACCGUAAGGAGCCAGCCGCCUAAGGUGGGACAGAUGAUUGGGGUGAAGUCGUAACAAGGUAGCCGUAUCGGAAGGUGCGGCUGG